CUGUUAUCCCCACGGUAACUUGGUUUAUCCUUUUUAGGGUUAGGUGAAUUUAUUUUUUAAAAAGAUUUAGUUUUUUGACCACCCCAGUCAAAAUAUUAUUUUAAGUUCGAUGGGGUCUUGUCGUCUUCUAUAACAAUUUAAGUCUUUUUACUUAAAUGGAAAUUUAAGGAAAUCUGAAUAAUAAAGAGUCCUACUCGUUAAUCCUUUCAUUCUAUCCUUUAAUUAGAAGGCAAAUGAUUAUGCUACCUUAGCACAUAAUAUUGCGGCUAUUUAAUUGUUCAUUGAGCAGGAUAUACUAAUUG
rnacentral:rRNA from 1 species